rnacentral:misc_RNA from 1 species
AAAAAUUCUCUUUUUCCGUGCCACAGCAGAGGAAAGCGCGGUGAACGACAGCUCCAUUUCGAGAUCUACCUAUUCGAAUCUCCGAUCGCCGAUCGCCGUUACACAGAGAUGGGGCUGUCUUUCACCAAACUUUUUAGUCGCCUCUUUGCUAAGAAAGAAAUGCGUAUUCUUAUGGUUGGUCUCGAUGCUGCUGGUAAAACCACAAUUCUCUACAAGCUCAAGUUGGGGGAAAUUGUUACUACUAUACCUACAAUUGGCUUCAACGUGGAAACAGUUGAAUACAAGAACAUCAGCUUUACCGUGUGGGAUGUUGGGGGUCAGGACAAGAUUCGACCUCUAUGGAGGCAUUAUUUCCAGAACACUCAAGGCCUCAUCUUUGUGGUUGACAGCAAUGACAGAGACCGU